CCGAGUUUACACUCCCAAACCCCAAUGUGAACGUUACCAAACUGUUGCCUCGGCGGGAUUUCUGCCCCGGGCGCGUCGCAGCCCCGGACCAAGGCGCCCGCCGGAGGACCAAUUUACAAACUCUUUUGUAUAUCCCAUCGCGGAUUCUUUACAUUCUGAGCUUUCUCGGCGCUCCUAGCGAGCGUUUCGAAAAUGAAUCAAAACUUUCAACAACGGAUCUCUUGGUUCUGGCAUCGAUGAAGAACGCAGCGAAAUGCGAUAAGUAAUGUGAAUUGCAGAAUUCAGUGAAUCAUCGAAUCUUUGAACGCACAUUGCGCCCGCCAGUAUUCUGGCGGGCAUGCCUGUCCGAGCGUCAUUUCAACCCUCGAACCCCUCCGGGGGGUCGGCGUUGGGGAUCGGCACUUACCUGCCGGCCCCGAAAUACAGUGGCGGUCUCGCCGCAGCCUCUCCUGCGCAGUAGUUUGCACACUCGCACCGGGAGCGCGGCGCGUCCACGGCCGUAAAACAACCCAAACUUCUGAAAUGUUGACC
rnacentral:rRNA from 1 species